CCCAGGAGGUAGAGGUUGCAGUGAGCCAAGAUUGUACCACUGCAUUCCAGUCCGGGUGACAGAGUGAGACUCUGUCUCAAGAAAAAAUUAUUUAUUUAUUUAUUUAUGUAUUUAUUUUUGAGAUGGAGUUUCACUCUUGUUGCCCUGGCUGGAAUGCAGUGGCGCGAUCUUGGCUCACUGCAACCUCUGCCUCCUGGG
rnacentral:pre_miRNA from 1 species